UACGUAGGGUCCGAGCGUUGUCCGGAAUUAUUGGGCGUAAAGGGCUCGUAGGCGGUUUGUCGCGUCGGGAGUGAAAACUCAGGGCUCAACCCUGAGCGUGCUUCCGAUACGGGCAGACUUGGGUACUGCAGGGGAGACUGGAAUUCCUGGUGUAGCGGUGAAAUGCGCAGAUAUCAGGAGGAACACCGGUGGCGAAGGCGGGUCUCUGGGCCGAAACUGACGCUGAGGAGCGAAGCGUGGGAGCAAACAGG
rnacentral:rRNA from 1 species